ACGAACGCUGGCGGCGUGCCUAAUCUAUGCAAGUCGAAUGUGUUCCGAUCGCAAGAUCGGAAUGUCAUGGCGGACGAGUGAGUAAUACAUAGGAAUGUGCCUCAAAGAGGGGGAUAACUCUCCGAAAGGAGAGAUAAUACCCCAUAAUAUCGCAAGAUCAAAGGAGCAAUCCACUUUGAGAUCAGCCUAUGUCCCAUCAGCUUGUUGGUAAGGUAAUGGCUUACCAAGGCUAUGACGGGUAGGGGGCGUGAGAGCGUGUACCCCCACGAUGGCACUGAGAUACGGGCCAUACACCUACGGGUGGCAGCAAGUAGGAAUCGUGCGCAAUGGGCGAAAGCCUGACGCCGCGACGCCGCGUGAGGGAUGAAGGCCUUCGGGUUGUAAACCUACAUCAAAAAGUCACGGCUAACUUCGUGCCAGCAGCAGCGGUAAUACGAAGGUGGCAAGCGUUGUCCGGUCUUAUUGGGCGUAAAGAGUUCUGUAGGCGGAGUUGUAAGUUAUAUGUUAAAGGCUACGGCCCAACCGUAGUUUUGCGUGUAAUACUGCAAUUCUUGAGUAAUGUAGAGGUUAGUAGAACGUACGGUGUAGUAGUGAAAUGCGUUGAUAUCGUACGGAAUACCAAAGGCGUAGGCAGCUAACUGGACAUUUACUGACGCUGAGAGACGAAAGCUUGGGGAGCAAAACGGGUUAGAUACCCGUGUAGUCCAAGCUGUAAACAAUGUCGAUUAGGAAGUGGCAAGAGUCACUUUCGAAGCUAACGCGAUAAAUCGACCGCCUGGGAAGUACGGGCCGCAAGGCUAAAACUCAAAGGAAUUGGCGGGGACCCGCACAAGCGGUGGAGCGCCUGGUUUAAUACGAUGAUAACCGUAAGACCUUACCUGGGUUUGACAUGCUACUGCAAGUCCCGAGAAAUCGGGACCGCCUUAGAGGGUGUAGCACAGGUGUUGCACGGCUGUCGUCAGCUCGAGUCGUGAGAUGUUCGGUUAAGUCCGUCAUCGAGCGCAACCCCUAUCGUUAGUUGUAUCACUCUAGCGAAACUGCCUCGGUAACGAGGAGGAAGGAGGGGAUGACGUCAAGUCAGCGUGGCCUUUAUAUCCAGGGCGACACGGGCGCUACAAUGGCCUAUACAAAGGGUUGCAAGCGAGCGAUCGCAAGCUAAUCCCAAAAAGUAGGCCCCAGUUCGGAUUGAAGUCUGCAACUCGACUUCAUGAAGUUGGAAUCGCUAGUAAUCGCAAAUCAGCCAUGUUGCGGUGAAUACGUUCUCGGGUCUUGCACACACCGCCCGUCAAUUGGGGGAAGUUGGAAAUACCCGAAG
rnacentral:rRNA from 1 species